AUUGAACGCUGGCGGCAUGCCUUACACAUGCAAAUCGAACGGUAACGGGCCUUCGGGUGCCGACGAGUGGCGAACGGGUGAGUAAUACAUCGGAACGUGCCCGAUCGUGGGGGAUAACGAGGCGAAAGCUUUGCUAAUACCGCAUACGAUCUACGGAUGAAAGCAGGGGACCGCAAGGCCUUGCGCGGACGGAGCGGCCGAUGGCAGAUUAGGUAGUUGGUGGGAUAAAAGCUUACCAAGCCGACGAUCUGUAGCUGGUCUGAGAGGAUGAUCAGCCACACUGGGACUGAGACACGGCCCAGACUCCUACGGGAGGCAGCAGUGGGGAAUUUUGGACAAUGGGCGCAAGCCUGAUCCAGCCAUGGCGCGUGCAGGAUGAAGGCCUUCGGGUUGUAAACUGAUUUUGUACGGAACGAAAAGCCUUCUUUUAAUACAGGAGGGUCAUGACGGUACCGUAAGAAUAAGCACCGGCUAACUACGUG
rnacentral:rRNA from 1 species